AGAGUUUGAUUCUGGCUCAGAACGAACGCUGGCGGCGUGGAUAAGACAUGCAAGUCGAACGAGAGAAUUGCUAGCUUGCUAAUAAUUCUCUAGUGGCGCACGGGUGAGUAACACGUGAGUAACCUGCCCCCAAGAGUGGGAUAGCCCCGGGAAACUGGGAUUAAUACCGCAUAAAAUCGCAAGAUUAAAGCAGCAAUGCGCUUGGGGAUGGGCUCGCGUCCUAUUAGUUAGUUGGUGAGGUAACGGCUCACCAAGGCGAUGACGGGUAGCCGGUCUGAGAGGAUGUCCGGCCACACUGGAACUGAGACACGGUCCAGACACCUACGGGUGGCAGCAGUCGAGAAUCAUUCACAAUGGGGGAAACCCUGAUGGUGCGACGCCGCGUGGGGGAAUGAAGGUCUUCGGAUUGUAAACCCCUGUCAUGUGGGAGCAAAUUAAAAAGAUAGUACCACAAGAGGAAGAGACGGCUAACUCUGUGCCAGCAGCCGCGGUAAUACAGAGGUCUCAAGCGUUGUUCGGAAUCACUGGGCGUAAAGCGUGCGUAGGCGGUUUCGUAAGUCGUGUGUGAAAGGCGGGGGCUCAACCCCCGGACUGCACAUGAUACUGCGAGACUAGAGUAAUGGAGGGGGAACCGGAAUUCUCGGUGUAGCAGUGAAAUGCGUAGAUAUCGAGAGGAACACUCGUGGCGAAGGCGGGUUCCUGGACAUUAACUGACGCUGAGGCACGAAGGCCAGGGGAGCGAAAGGGAUUAGAUACCCCUGUAGUCCUGGCAGUAAACGGUGCACGCUUGGUGUGCGGGGAAUCGACCCCCUGCGUGCCGGAGCUAACGCGUUAAGCGUGCCGCCUGGGGAGUACGGUCGCAAGAUUAAAACUCAAAGAAAUUGACGGGGACCCGCACAAGCGGUGGAGUAUGUGGCUUAAUUCGAUGCAACGCGAAGAACCUUACCUGGGCUUGACAU
rnacentral:rRNA from 1 species